AGUGAACGCUGGCGGUAGGCCUAACACAUGCAAGUCGAACGGCAGCACAGGAGAGCUUGCUCUCUGGGUGGCGAGUGGCGGACGGGUGAGGAAUACAUCGGAAUCUACCUUGUCGUGGGGGAUAACGUAGGGAAACUUACGCUAAUACCGCAUACGACCUUCGGGUGAAAGUGGGGGACCGCAAGGCCUCACGCGAUUAGAUGAGCCGAUGUCGGAUUAGUUAGUUGGCGGGGUAAAAGCCCACCAAGGCGACGAUCAGUAGCUGGUCUGAGAGGAUGAUCAGCCACACUGGAACGGAGACACGGUCCAGACUCCUACGGGAGGCAGCAGUGGGGAAUAUUGGACAAUGGGCGCAAGCCUGAUCCAGCCAUACCGCGUGGGUGAAGAAGGCCUUCGGGUUGUAAAGCCCUUUUGUUGGGAAAGAAAUCUUGCCGGUUAAUACCUGGCGAGGAUGACGGUACCCAAAGAAUAAGCACCGGCUAACUUCGUGCCAGCAGCCGCCGUAACAC
rnacentral:rRNA from 1 species